AGAGUUUGAUUCUGGCUCAGGAUGAACGCUGGCGGCGUGCUUAACACAUGCAAGUCGAACGGAGUUUUAAACGGAAGUCCUCGGAUGGAAGUUUAGAAACUAGUGGCGGACGGGUGAGUAACGCGUGGGUAACCUGCCUCAUACAGGGGGAUAACAGUCGGAAACGAUUGCUAAAACCGCAUAACAUAGCGAAACCGCAUGAUUUUGCUAUCAAAUAUUUAUAGGUAUGAGAUGGGCCCGCGUCUGAUUAGCUAGUUGGUGGGGUAAUGGCCUACCAAGGCGACGAUCAGUAGCCGGCUUGAGAGAGUGACCGGCCACAUUGGGACUGAGACACGGCCCAAACUCCUACGGGAGGCAGCAGUGGGGAAUAUUGGACAAUGGGGGAAACCCUGAUCCAGCCGACGCCGCGUGAGUGAAGAAGUAUUUCGGUAUGUAAAGCUCUAUCAGCAGGGAAGAUAAUGACAGUACCUGACUAAGAAGCCCCGGCUAACUACGUGCCAGCCGCGGC
rnacentral:rRNA from 1 species